rnacentral:tRNA from 1 species
CCUUUGAUAGCUCAGUUGGUAGAGCGGAGGACUGUAGAUCCUUAGGUCGCUGGUUCAACUCCGGCUCGAAGGA